UGCUUUCAUAUCUAUUGUUUUGCUUUUUGGCAGUGAGUUUUUCUAGAACUGUUGAUGUCGGAUCUCUUUGCGACGGAAUGUAGGAAAUAAGCGGUGUAGUUGCAAUUGCGAUCAUUCCAGAGCGACCCAUUAUGCAAAAACUGAGAGCAGCAGCGUACUUUCGAUUUCUUUUGUAAGGAAAAGUCUCAAAAGCUGUAUGGACUGGCAUGGUACAUAAGCUGCAGUUGUAAGCCUCCUAUCGACGAGUUAAAAGAUUCCCUUUACGAGGCGACGGAAAGCGGCUUUUUAACGUGAUCGACUUGCGUGCGUGCGUAAGCGACGAACACCGGUCGGAGUGCAACAAGCACAGUCGAGUGCAUUGCAGCACUGCACCGGUUACGAUGCAGACGCGUAGUUGUCGCUCAAACCGCUGGCCACCGAGUACCGGUAGCUUAUAACAUUCGUCGCAACGGACCGAUGCCAGUUGUUGGGGCAGUUCGGGAAAAAUCAAUGCAAGAUAGCUAACAACAAGUAGACGAGGAAAAUGAAAAAAAUACACAGCAUAAAGUUAAAGCUCCGUCUUGUGUGCUAAAGAACAGCGGUUAUAUCAUCCCGAGUCUGCGUGCUCGCAACCCGCGUAAUCCCUUUUACUCGGCCGGUGGGGGCCUAAACCACGGCCAAGCAAAGUAGUACACGAUCGCGAUCUUUGCUCGGCGAUCCAAUUUCCUCAGCCACAACGGGUGACACCGCGGGGUUUCACCAAGCUUUUCUUGUAUUUCAUUUCACCGUCCAUUUUUUUACAUAUCGCUGUUCCCUUUGCCGCCAGGGUCCAGUCGGCCGGCGAAAAAAAUUGCCCUCCUUCUUAUGCGCCAAGAGCGACUACGAGGUUCCUCCGUGUGCCGUUGUUGCCUGUUAUUGUGGUGUUAUAGCCUCUAUUGGCGUGUGGUGUUUGGUGGUAUCUGUUACAAGUCUGGCGCGAAUCGCGGUACUGCCAUUGCAUUGCCAAGCUCUUCCACAACAGCGAACGAAAAGGGUCAAACUUCGCAGUUCGCGCCAGGCGCAAUGAAAAUGCAAAGUAACAGGCGCAUAAUAACGGCAACGCUGCCGACCGCUGACGGUGGGCAUUCCGAAUCGGCCUGACCGCACAAUCAAAAUACCGGGCCGGUGAGGUGCCUCGAGAAGUGCCGUGUAGAUAGGCGACGGCUACGAGUAGCGGGAGUAGAUCGCCACCUUUUGGGGCCGGGAGCGAAAACAAGUGGGAAACGGUGGUAAACGGGAGCACGAGAAAUGAUUACGCAAUAAUAUCAUUUAUUAAAAGGGAUCAUAAGCUUCCACCUCGACUGAAAGGCCAGCUUCCAUCGGGAUCGAGGUAGAUAGAUGAUAAGUAAUGGACAAACUUAUCUUCUUCGGAUAAGCGAAAUUGGUGCAGUGAAUUAAUCGCAAUGUAUUUGAAAUUAAGGUUGCAACUUUACAUUGAUACAAAUCGCUAGGCACGCUGUAGGCAUGAUAUGAACGUUUUUUGCGAAUAUUCAACAACAAGUUGUUUGUGGAAAUCUAUAAUUACUUCGUUACUAGUCGCUAUAUUCAGCAUACCUCGCCAUCUUUUCAAAAUGAAUCCUUGGGAAGUGUUACAAACAAUGGGGAGAAACUUGUUUGCAGUGUUUUGGAUCUACCUACGGUUUAUAGUGCUAGCGGUGGUCAUAUUUUAUCUAGUCGAAUGGUACAUUCGAGAGUAUGACGAUGGAGGCGCAGACGUUAGUU